CCUACGGGUGGCAGCAGUGGGGAAUAUUGCACAAUGGGGGAAACCCUGAUGCAGCAACGCCGCGUGAAGGAAGACGGUUUUCGGAUUGUAAACUUCUAUCAAUAGGGAAGAAAGAAAUGACGGUACCUAAAUAAGAAGCCCCGGCUAACUACGUGCCAGCAGCCGCGGUAAUACGUAGGGGGCAAGCGUUAUCCGGAAUUACUGGGUGUAAAGGGUGAGUAGGCGGCAAGGUAAGGGAUAUGUGAAAGCCUUAAGCUUAACUUAAGGAGGGCAUAACAAACUAGCUAGCUAGAGUACAGGAGAGGAAUGCGGAAUGCCUAGUGUAGCGGUGAAAUGCGUAGAUAUUAGGAAGAACACCAGUGGCGAAGGCGGCUUUCUGGACUGAAUCUGACGCUGAGGCUCGAAAGCGUGGGGAGCGAACAGGAUUAGAUACCCUAGUAGUC
rnacentral:rRNA from 1 species